UCGAACGAGAAAUCUCGAGCUUGCUCGGGAGAGUAAAGUGGCGCACGGGUGAGUAACGCGUGGGUAACCUAUCCUAAAAUUUGGGAUAAUCCACCGAAAGGUGGCCUAAUACCAAAUACAGUCCUGAGAACCAAGGUUCUUGAGAUGAAAGCUGACCUCUUCAAGAAAGUUGGCGUUUAAGGAGGGGCUCGCGUACCAUUAGCUUGUUGGUAGGGUAAUGGCCUACCAAGGCUACGAUGGUUAGCUGGUCUGAGAAGAUGGCCAGCCACACUGGAACUGAAACACGGUCCAGACUCCUACGGGAGGCAGCAGUGAGGAAUCUUGCGCAAUGGGGGAAACCCUGACGCAGCGACGCCGUGUGAGUGAAGAAGGCCUUCGGGUCGUAAAGCUCUGUCAAGCGGGAAUAAAAGCCUUCGGUCAAUACCCGAGGGAUUUGAAGGUACCGCUAAAGGAAGCACCGGCUAACUCCGUGCCAGCAGCCGCGGUAAUACGGAGGGUGCAAGCGUUAUUCGGAUUU
rnacentral:rRNA from 1 species